AGCAGCCGCGGUAAUUCCAGCUCCAAUAGCGUAUAUUAAAGUUGUUGCAGUUAAAAAGCUCGUAGUUGAAUUUCGGGAUCAAUUUGCUGGUCGUGCCUCUGGUACGUACUGGUAUUAUUGGUUUCUCCCUUCUGACGAACCAUGAUGUCAUUAAUUUGAUGUCGUGGAGAAUCAGGACUGUUACUUUGAAAAAUUAGAGUGUUUAAAGCAGGCAUUAGCUUGAAUACAUUAGCAUGGAAUAAUGAAAUAGGACGUUUGAUCCUAUUUUGUUGGUUUCUAGGAUUGACGUAAUGAUUAAUAGGGAUAGUUGGGGGCAUUAGUAUUCAAUUGUCAGAGGUGAAAUUCUUGGAUUUAUUGAAGACUAACUACUGCGAAAGCAUUUGCCAAGGAUGUUUUCAUUAAUCAAGAACGAAAGUUAGGGGAUCGAAGACGAUCAGAUACCGUCGUAGUCUUAACCAUAAACUAUGCCGACUAGGGAUCGGAUGAUGUUAAUUUUUAAUGUA
rnacentral:rRNA from 1 species